rnacentral:lncRNA from 1 species
UUUUACUUGGAAUAUGUAUUUUUAUUGUUGAGAAGUGAAAAGUUUGCACUUGUGAUACAAAUUGUGGUGGAAGAAUGUAGAUAAUUUAAAGUUUACAUUUUGGAGGCUAGUAGAUUAAUCCGCAAACUUUUAAGAAAUUAGCAUGUUGUAAUUGGCUAUUAAUUACAUGUUUUUAAGUCAUAUUUGGUGUGUGGUAUUCAAAGAGUAAAGUAAUUGGAAACCCACUUUACCAAAAAAAAAAAAGUAAUUGCAAACCCCUUUGUGUUUUGCUAUUAGUUUCUUUUUAAAAAAAAGUUUGAAAAACAAAACAAACGGGUGACUAUCUGUCUCCUACAUACAAGUAUCUGUAAUGAAAUCAUAUCUCAUAUUUGUGGUUAACUUCAAUGGUUGGAAGAUUUGUGCACUGACAUUGUUCUUUGGUGGAUUGACUAUUCAGAAUCUGGCCAACUCUUUAGACACUCAUACUCGGCAAAAUAUACUGCGCUUUGUUGAUGCUGUUGAAAACGUGCUUAAAGAGCAGUUGCAGCUUGAUAGCCGCUGAUGGUUCUGGCUAAGGAUGUGCUCACAAA